AGUUUGAUCAUGGCUCAGAUUGAACGCUGGCGGCAGGCCUAACACAUGCAAGUCGAACGGUAACAGGAAGAAGCUUGCUUCUUUGCUGACGAGUGGCGGACGGGUGAGUAAUGUCUGGGAAACUGCCUGAUGGAGGGGGAUAACUACUGGAAACGGUAGCUAAUACCGCAUAACGUCGCAAGACCAAAGAGGGGGACCUUCGGGCCUCUUGCCAUCGGAUGUGCCCAGAUGGGAUUAGCUAGUAGGUGGGGUAACGGCUCACCUAGGCGACGAUCCCUAGCUGGUCUGAGAGGAUGACCAGCCACACUGGAACUGAGACACGGUCCAGACUCCUACGGGAGGCAGCAGUGGGGAAUAUUGCACAAUGGGCGCAAGCCUGAUGCAGCCAUGCCGCGUGUAUGAAGAAGGCCUUCGGGUUGUAAAGUACUUUCAGCGGGGAGGAAGGGAGUAAAGUUAAUACCUUUGCUCAUUGACGUUACCCGCAGAAGAAGCACCGGCUAACUCCGUGCCAGCAGCCGCGGUAAUACGGAGGGUGCAAGCGUUAAUCGGAAUUACUGGGCGUAAAGCGCACGCAGGCGGUUUGUUAAGUCAGAUGUGAAAUCCCCGGGCUCAACCUGGGAACUGCAUCUGAUACUGGCAAGC
rnacentral:rRNA from 1 species